rnacentral:ncRNA from 2 species
AACUUAUCAAGAGUGAUUGAGGGAACGGGCCCUAUGAAAUCCAGCAACCAGUACAGUGUAUAAUGGUGCUAAAUCCUGCAGCGAGAGCUGAAAGAUGAGAG